GAUGAACGCUGGCGGCGUGCCUAAUACAUGCCAGUCGAGCGAACGGACGAGAAGCUUGCUUUUCUGAUGUUAGCGGCGGACGGGUGAGUAACACGUGGAUAACCUACCUAUAAGACUGGGAUAACUUCGGGAAACCGGAGCUAAUACCGGAUAAUAUUUUGAACCGCAUGGUUCAAAAGUGAAAGACGGUCUUGCUGUCACUUAUAGAUGGAUCCGCGCUGCAUUAGCUAGUUGGUAAGGUAACGGCUUACCAAGGCAACGAUGCAUAGCCGACCUGAGAGGGUGAUCGGCCACACUGGAACUGAGACACGGUCCAGACUCCUACGGGAGGCAGCAGUAGGGAAUCUUCCGCAAUGAGCGAAAGCCUGACGGAGCAACGCCGCGUGAGUGAUGAAGGUCUUCGGAUCGUAAAACUCUGUUAUUAGGGAAGAACAUAUGUGUAAGUAACUGUGCACAUCUUGACGGUACCUAAUCAGAAAGCCACGGCUAACUACGUG
rnacentral:rRNA from 1 species